rnacentral:lncRNA from 1 species
CUUUUCUUCCUUUGACAGUCUCACAAGAAGGAAUCUAGCUGCUGCACCUCAUCGGCUAACUUCAGACUAGGUAACAACAGAUUGGAGAUAGAGCGGUGCAAAUUCCAGCCAGGGAUUGGUUGCUCUCCUAGGACUUCUGAUUUGUCUCUUGAUUUAUUCAGGGACUUCUGAAUUCAGAAAAAUUGAGAGAAAUUAUUUGGUCUUCCUGCGUCUUACAAUCAAGUUUCAAGUAAUUGGAGCCUGGAUUAUUAUUCUAUAUCCUAAUUCAUGGUUAAAAGUUGUUUCCUUAAAUCUGAAGGUAAAUACUUUUAUUGCUGCU